GCCUCUGUGGUGUAGUGGUAGAGCACGCGCCCGGAUAGAAUAAAUCGCGGUUCGAUUCCUGCCUGGGGCC